rnacentral:rRNA from 1 species
UGAGGAAUAUUGGUCAAUGGGCGAGAGCCUGAACCAGCCACGUCGCGUGAAGGAAGACUGACCUUACGGUUUGUAAACUUCUUUUGUAGAGGGGUAAUGGCAGAUACGUGUAUUUGCGUGAAAGUACUCUACGAAUAAGCAUCGGCUAACUCCGUGCCAGCAGCCGCGGUAAUACGGGGGAUGCGAGCGUUAUCCGGAAUUAUUGGGUUUAAAGGGUGCGCAGGUGGCUAAUCAGGUCAGUGGUGAAAAGCUAUGGCUCAACCAUGGUCGUGCCAUUGAAAACGUAUAGCUAGAGAGGAGACGAGGUAGGCGGAAUGUGUGGUGUAGCGGUGAAAUGCAUAGAUAUCACACAGAACUCCGAUUGCGAAGGCAGCUUACCAGGCUUUAUCUGACACUUAGGCACGACAGCGUGGGGAUCAAACAGG